CCGUAGCAAACAGCUCAGUAACACGUGGCCAAACUACCCUAUGGACGAGGACAACCUCGGGAAACUGAGGCUAAUCCACGAUACGGCUCCCACGCUGGAAUGCGGGGAGCCGGAAACGCUCCGGCGCCAUAGGAUGUGGCUGCGGCCGAUUAGGUAGACGGUGGGGUAACGGCCCACCGUGCCUAUAAUCGGUACGGGAUGUGAGAGCAAAUAGCCCGGAGAUGGAUUCUGAGACAAGAAUCCAGGCCCUACGGGGCGCAGCAGGCGCGAAACCUUUACACUGCACGCCAGUGCGAUAAGGGGACCCCGAGUGCGAGGGCAUACAGUCCUCGCUUUUGUACACCGUAAGGAGGUGUACGAAUAAGGGCUGGGCAAGACCGGUGCCAGCCGCCGCGGUAAUACCGGCAGCCCGAGUGAUGGCCGCUGUUAUUGGGCCUAAAGCGUCCGUAGCCGGCCGAACAAGUCUGUCGGGAAAUCCAUCUGCCUAACAGAUGGGCGUCCGGCAGAAACUGUUCGGCUUGGGGCCGGAAGAUCCGAGGGGUACGUCCGGGGUAGGAGUGAAAUCCCGUAAUCCUGGACGGACCGCCGGUGGCGAAAGCGCCUCGGAAGGACGGACCCGACGGUGAGGGACGAAAGCUGGGGUCUCGAACCGGAUUAGAUACCCGGGUAGUCCCAGCCGUA
rnacentral:rRNA from 1 species